UACGUAGGGUGCGAGCGUUAAUCGGAAUUACUGGGCGUAAAGCGUGCGCAGGCGGUUUUGAAAGCCAGGUGUGAAAUCCCCGGGCUCAACCUGGGAAUGGCAUUUGGGACUGCAAGGCUGGAGUGCGGCAGAGGAGACUGGAAUUCCUGGUGUAGCAGUGAAAUGCGUAGAUAUCAGGAGGAAUACCGAUGGCGAAGGCAGGUCUCUGGGCUGACACUGACGCUCAUGCACGAAAGCGUGGGGAGCAAACAGG
rnacentral:rRNA from 1 species